AUAGAACAGCAUGAAGACUGUAGAAAGAACACUGGGUUUGGAAUCGAGGAAACAAGUGAAUUCUGGGAAUGAAUUAUGUUUUUUGGAAACUAACCACCGGUGGGAUCUUAGAUGCAUCUAGUCGAACAGAAUUCUGGACCUGGAGUCCCAGAAUGCAGUGGGAGAGCAGGUUUGAUAGAGAGCAAGAAAAAGGGGUUGAGAGACAAUAAUUACUUAUGGACUUGCUGUUCUUUUCCAAAAAAUGGAACCUCUGGAGGGAAUCUGUACUGCAGGCAUCAAUUUAUCUCCAGAUCUAUCUGCUGUUUCCCCAAGAGACCAGGUUGGAGAUGCUGUGG
rnacentral:lncRNA from 1 species